UACGGGGGGGGCAAGCGUUGUUCGGAAUUACUGGGCGUAAAGCGCGUGUAGGCGGUUGCCAAAGUCGGGUGUGAAAGCCUUGAGCUUAACUCAAGAAAUGCUCUCGAUACUUGGUGACUAGAGGACCGGAGAGGAUAGUGGAAUUCCCAGUGUAGUGGUGAAAUACGUAGAGAUUGGGAAGAACACCAGUGGCGAAGGCGGCUAUCUGGACGGUUUCUGACGCUAAGACGCGAAAGCGUGGGGAGCAAACAGG
rnacentral:rRNA from 1 species